UUCUUCUUCCUUCAUUCCUUCCUUCUCUUUCUUCUUCUCUCAUCACACACUUCACUAAACCCUAAUUUUCACCUCCCUCCCCAUUAAAGCCUGCAAUCUCUGAUUCCACUUCCCAUUCCUCUGCUAACCAAAACCCUAAUCCCUCUUUUCUCUGGUUUUUACCCGUAUCUGAUUCCAAUGCCACCAUUUCCCUCUUCUAUAACAUCUUCCAUUCAUUGUAUCUCUUUCUAGAUUCCAUUCUCUUCCUUGCCGUCUUCUUUGAAUUCAACGCUCCUCUGCCUUUCUUUUUUCUAAAUAACAUGUUGGAACACCUCGCCCGAGAAUCAGACGGGGAGCUUGGUUACGAAGCAGCUGUUAAUUCAAAUUCCAGUCAAAAUUCUAUGAGCAGUGAGAGUUGUAGUAGUUUCAGUCGUCUCUCCUUUGAUGCUGCCAUUGAUUUACCUACCUCUCGAUCUUCGCCGGAGAGUCUUGAUUUGAAGCCUCAUCGAUCGUCUGAUUUCGCUUACUCCGCUAUUCGUCGACGGAAAUCUAAGCUUACCUUUCGUGAUUUUCGACUUCUCCGUCGGAUUGGUGCUGGCGACAUUGGGACUGUUUAUUUAUGUCAGCUGAGGAAGCUGAGCGAGG
rnacentral:misc_RNA from 1 species